GUGUCAGCAGCCGCGGUAAUACGGAGGGUGCGAGCGUUGUCCGGAUUUAUUGGGUUUAAAGGGUGCGUAGGCGGCCCGUCAAGUCGGCGGUGAAAUUCCACGGCUCAACCGUGGGUGUGCCGAUGAAACUGACGGGCUUGAGUGUCGGCGGGGUACAUGGAAUUCAUGGUGUAGCGGUGAAAUGCAUAGAUACCAUGAGGAACCCCGAUAGCGUAGGCAUUGUACUUGCCGACCACUGACGCUGAUGCACGAAAGCGCGGGUAUCGAACAGGAUUAGAUACCCUGGUAGUCCGCGCCGUAAACGAUGAUCACUCGCUGUUCCGGGCUUGCCCCGGGGCGGCCAAGCGAAAGCGUUAAGUGAUCCACCUGGGGAGUACGGCCGCAAGGCUGAA
rnacentral:rRNA from 1 species